AAAUUGAAGAGUUUGAUCAUGGCUCAGAUUGAACGCUGGCGGCAGGCCUAACACAUGCAAGUCGAGCGGUAGCACAGAGAGCUUGCUCUCGGGUGACGAGCGGCGGACGGGUGAGUAAUGUCUGGGAAACUGCCUGAUGGAGGGGGAUAACUACUGGAAACGGUAGCUAAUACCGCAUAAUGUCGCAAGACCAAAGUGGGGGACCUUCGGGCCUCAUGCCAUCAGAUGUGCCCAGAUGGGAUUAGCUGGUAGGUGGGGUAACGGCUCACCUAGGCGACGAUCCCUAGCUGGUCUGAGAGGAUGACCAGCCACACUGGAACUGAGACACGGUCCAGACUCCUACGGGAGGCAGCAGUGGGGAAUAUUGCACAAUGGGCGCAAGCCUGAUGCAGCCAUGCCGCGUGUGUGAAGAAGGCCUUCGGGUUGUAAAGCACUUUCAGCGGGGAGGAAGGCGAUAAGGUUAAUAACCUUGUCGAUUGACGUUACCCGCAGAAGAAGCACCGGCUAACUCCGUGCCAGCAGCCGCGGUAAUACGGAGGGUGCAAGCGUUAAUCGGAAUUACUGGGCGUAAAGCGCACGCAGGCGGUCUGUCAAGUCGGAUGUGAAAUCCCCGGGCUCAACCUGGGAACUGCAUUCGAAACUGGCAGGCUAGAGUCUUGUAGAGGGGGGUAGAAUUCCAGGUGUAGCGGUGAAAUGCGUAGAGAUCUGGAGGAAUACCGGUGGCGAAGGCGGCCCCCUGGACAAAGACUGACGCUCAGGUGCGAAAGCGUGGGGAGCAAACAGGAUUAGAUACCCUGGUAGUCCACGCUGUAAACGAUGUCGAUUUGGAGGUUGUGCCCUUGAGGCGUGGCUUCCGGAGCUAACGCGUUAAAUCGACCGCCUGGGGAGUACGGCCGCAAGGUUAAAACUCAAAUGAAUUGACGGGGGCCCGCACAAGCGGUGGAGCAUGUGGUUUAAUUCGAUGCAACGCGAAGAACCUUACCUGGUCUUGACAUCCACAGAACUUUCCAGAGAUGGAUUGGUGCCUUCGGGAACUGUGAGACAGGUGCUGCAUGGCUGUCGUCAGCUCGUGUUGUGAAAUGUUGGGUUAAGUCCCGCAACGAGCGCAACCCUUAUCCUUUGUUGCCAGCGGUUAGGCCGGGAACUCAAAGGAGACUGCCAGUGAUAAACUGGAGGAAGGUGGGGAUGACGUCAAGUCAUCAUGGCCCUUACGACCAGGGCUACACACGUGCUACAAUGGCAUAUACAAAGAGAAGCGACCUCGCGAGAGCAAGCGGACCUCAUAAAGUAUGUCGUAGUCCGGAUUGGAGUCUGCAACUCGACUCCAUGAAGUCGGAAUCGCUAGUAAUCGUAGAUCAGAAUGCUACGGUGAAUACGUUCCCGGGCCUUGUACACACCGCCCGUCACACCAUGGGAGUGGGUUGCAAAAGAAGUAGGUAGCUUAACCUUCGGGAGGGCGCUUACCACUUUGUGAUUCAUGACUGGGGUGAAGUCGUAACAAGGUAACCGUAGGGGAACCUGCGGUUGGAUCACCUCCUUA
rnacentral:rRNA from 1 species